CCAGCGUGAAGCCAGAGUAGAGCACCGCGUCCUUGACGAAGAUGCUCGCGGCGCGCAGCAUAAACGACAGGAACAUGUGCAUGUGGAUGUAGUUGCGCGUGCAGUGCAGGCGCCUGCGGGGCGUGCAACAUCACCGCGGGGGUCCACAGCAGGAGGUUGGGUUGCAGGACCCUGGAGAGAACCCAAGGCCAGGAACUGGCGGGUCCAGUGCUGGAUGAGGCGUGCCCGGAAGCCCGUGAAAUCGCACCACUAAAGGUCACAGCCAGACCCCCAAGUUUGUGGAGCUCCGGGGGAGACUGAUGGCGGAGACAGCGCAGUCCACACCGGCGCCCCAAUGAAGGCCCCUCCUCUUCACUUCCUCCCCUCCCUGCCAGAUUCUACAGGUUUGUGGCUGUGACAUGUCAGGAUUCUACCCCUUCAGACAAAACUGGAGGAGGUGAAGGAGUGCCUUUUCCAGUUCUGACACUUCUGCAUCUGUGCAAGCGGCUUCUAUUACAGAAUAUUUUAUUAGCAGGAUGCUCUUGGGUCACAUCAGCCACUCGUUUCUCAGGGUCAGCCUGGUCCCCUAAGGGACAGCGUGCUUUGCUUCCUUGCCUGCCACUAAGAAGGCAGCUCUAUUUGGUGUUCACCAUGGAUGUUCCUGUCCCACAAGACUUCUUUGUCUGAUGCCACUCAUGUCAACCUCAUCUUCUACGACACACCGUUUUUACAAAAGGGGAGACUGAGGCCUAGAGAAUGGUUAGAAGGAGAGGGCCAGGAGUGGGGCUAAGGCAAAGGAAAUGCCCAGCUGCACGGAUGGUGGGGCACCAGCCACCUUUGCUGCAUGAAGCAGGCAUCUACAGAGGGAGUUGAUUCGGUGGUGAACGUGCCCAUCGAGACAACAGUGUGAGGCUGGGGUGUGGCCGGCCCCUCUAACUGGACAGGGGACAGCUGCGCCAUGGUGUUAAGCAAGGAUGUGAAUGGCUCCGGCAAAGUGAAAAAGAAAUACUUGGCUCUCAGGAGAUGCCCUUGUGACCUUCUGGCCUUCCUGCACCCCUUCUCCAGGUCCUACUCCUGGGACCCAUGCUGGCACCUCUCGUUGACCCAUGUUGGCUGGCUGGAGACUGCUCUCUUGUCCCUUGCUGCCCUCUGUCCAUCUGGCUGGCCACAGCAGGCUGGGACGGGCUCCUCAUCCUGCCCAGCCACCACUGACAAGUGCUGACUUUUCCUCCCCCUUGCCAGGCCUUCCUGAACAGGCUGCCUGUGUUUGGGGCUGGGAGGGGUUGGGGGGGGAGGCACUGUGACGCCUCUCAUCCCAGCCAGCCAGCCAGCCAGCCAGCCAGCGUGGCCGCCUUUGGGGCAGGCGGUGGGAUAGAGCCUGGGAUGGCAGAGUUGGCUGCUAGGACAGGGUGGAUCUUCACGGCAGCCUCUACCUGGGCCAGGCAGGAGGACCAAGGCCUAGAAGGAUGGGAUGGCCUGGUGCUCAGCAUGGGUAAAAGGCUACCAGAGCUGGGGUUCUAAAGGGCUUGGGACGUCUCCAGUGUCGGGGAACCUGAGCAAACUCUGCCUCUCCUAGUCAUUUUAAAGAUGAUUUCAAAGAUGAUUUCAAGUUCUGCAAAAACCCCACCGUACCUUUUAUUUUUCCUGGGGCUCUCUGAAAUAGCUCCCUUCCUGAUGUGGUAGCUGGACCAGGGAGUGUCCCCAGAAGGCCCACAACAGGAAUCUGGGGGAGGCUGCUUGACGCCUCAUUAAAACAUUCCGAAGAAAACCCAAGUUCCCGGGAGGGCCUGUGCCCCCCUCCACUGCUCUGUCCUCAGGCAGUUCUGGGAGUUGGGGGGUAGGGGAGGAGGAUGUGUUUAAGGGCAGGUGAUAUAAAAAGCUUCAGCAAAUCAAUAUGUGCAAGAUAAAUAACCCAUAGAAAGAUGGGUAAUGGCUCUGAGCAAGCUCUCUGAGCAGAUAGACCAGAAACAAAUCUCAAGCCUGAAAAUCGUUGGCGAGGGUAAAUUAAAAUGACAGGAGCCACCAUUCCUCACCUAUCGAAAUGCUAAGGCGAAACAAAAGGGCCCCUGGUCACAUCCUGUGAAACAGAGCCGAGCAGGGAGAGGGCCCUGCGGUCAGUCCUGGUGAGUAUAAACCAGCACAGCUUUUUAGAAGGCAAUUUGGCCAUGCCUAUUAAAAUAAAAAAUGUGCAUGUUCUUAGACCCAGCAAAGACAAAUUCUAGAAAUAUCCUACCGGGAAACGGUCACGUGGUAAACCAAGAGGGCAUUUCAAGGAGCUUCUCUGCCACCAUCUGGAACUUCUCUCACAUUCACACACUCCAGCGCACACACGCGCGUGCGUGCAAGUGCGCAGACACACACACACAGAGGGAGAAAGAGAAUGAGAGGAUGAGAAAACUGGGGAGAAAGGGUCUGAAUGUGCAUUCCUCAGGAAUGUUUAAUGAGGUUCAUACUUUGGAAUACUAUACAGGAUUAAAAAGGACUCAGAGAGAUGGCUCCGUGUUUAAAAGCACUGGCUGUUCUUCCGGGGACCCACGUUCAAUUCCCUGUAUCCAUACGGUGGUUCCAGGGGAUAUGACGCCCUCUUCUGGCUUCCUCAGGUACCGCAUGCAUACAGUGCACAGACAUACAUACAGGCCAGACAAGUAAGCAUACAAUAAAAUAACUUUGAAAAAAAGGAUUUGGAGGCUAGAGAGAUGGCUCUGAUGUUAGAGCACAAACUUUUCUUGCAGGAGGACCCAAGUUCUGUUCCCAGCAUCCACUUUAGGUGGCUUAAAACAGCCUCUAAUCCCAGCUCUAAGGGAUCUGACAUGCUCUUCGGGCCUCCUCAAGCAUUACAUGUGUGCACAAAAGCCCCACUAGAAUAUACAAAUACUUAAAAAAAAACCAUAAAAAUAUGUUUUAAAAGAUUUGUAUUCACAAACAUGAAGCUAUACCUUUAGGUAGCACCAUGCAUGUGUCACAUAAACCUAUGGAAAAGCUCGAUGGGCUUAUUUAAAAACACAAGACACAAGCCAGAGAGAUGGCUCAGUGGCUGAGAGCGCUGUCUGCUCUUCCAAAGGACCUGGGUUCAAUUCCCAGCACCCACAUGGCAGCUCACAACAUAGUGUAAGCCCAAUUCCAAGAGAUCUGAUACCUUCACACUAAUGCACAUAAAAUAAAAUUAAUUAAAUUAUUAAAAAAACAAAUAAAAACACAAGGCACAACAUUCUUCUUGCUGUGCAUACCAAAAGGCACCAUUUGAAGCACGGGGAAAGAGACAGAGGCCCCUCCCCAGACUGUCGAAAUGCCUUUCUCUAGAAAGGGGAUGGGGAUUCGACAGUGCCCACAGAAGGCUUCUGUGUCAUUUGUAUCACUUGAACUCCUGAACUAGGGGGAUGUCUCAGUGGGGAAGGUCCUUACUGCUCACAAACUAGAGUUCAGGUUCCCAACCCCACAUAAAGACAAACCAGAGAGUCCUCAGAAGCCCGAGCUGGCCUGGUGACCCUGUCUCGAGUGGAAGGUGAGAACAACAGCCUGCCGUCCGCAGAUCUUCAGAGCCCCCCCCCGAUAUUCACACACAUGCACACACACAUACACAGAGACUAAAACAAUCCAAAAACAAUUAUUAAAAAUGUGCUCAUUAGUGGUGAAAUAAACAGCGUAAAAGGUAAAAAUAGCAGAGGUUUCACUUUCUAAAGAAGAAAACCCAGAGUGACACAUAGGGACCUCUUGUCCCGACUUUACUCCUGUCUCGCUUAGAGGGAAGAGUCUCCUGUAGAAAUCUGAAGCCCUGGGUUCAGAUGCUUCAACUCUAUCCCACCUCUGCCAAACUCAGGACGUGAGCCUCAAGGUCAUUUCCCAGUAAAGUGGAAAGGGUGGGAUGAGCAAACCUACAUGGCAGGUCCUCGCUCAGACUCUUGGUACAAGUUCGUUCUUAUUUUUAAAAGCAAGAACCUCUGGGCAGGCAAGAUAGCUUAGCAGGUAAAGUGCUUGCUGUCUGAGCCUGAAACCUGAAUUCCAUACCUGGAACCUACAUGGCGGAAGGAAGGAACUGCCUCCUGCAAGCACGGCCAAGCACGC